rnacentral:rRNA from 1 species
CCUACGGGAGGCAGCAGUGAGGAAUAUUGGUCAAUGGACGCAAGUCUGAACCAGCCAUGCCGCGUGCAGGAAGACGGCUCUAUGAGUUGUAAACUGCUUUUGUUCGAUGGUAAACGCAUAUACGCGUAUCUGUCUGAAAGUAUCGUACGAAUAAGGAUCGGCUAACUCCGUGCCAGCAGCCGCGGUAAUACGGAGGAUUCAAGCGUCAUCCGGUUUUAUUGGGUUUAAAGGGUGCGUAGGCGGUCGGGUAAGUUAGAGGUGAAAUCCCGAGGCUCAACGUCGGAAUUGCUUCUGAGACUGUUCGGCGAGAGAGUAGUUGUGGUAGGCGGAAUGUAUGGUGUAGCGGUGAAAUGCUUAGAGAUCAUAGAGAACACCGAUUGCGAAGGCAGCUUACCAAGCUACUUCUGACGUUGAGGCACGAAAGCGUGGGGAGCAAACAGGAUUAGAUACCCGAGUAGUC